rnacentral:rRNA from 1 species
UACGUAGGGUGCAAGCGUUGUCCGGAAUUAUUGGGCGUAAAGAGCUCGUAGGCGGUCUGUCGCGUCUGCUGUGAAAACUCGGGGCUUAACCCCGGGCCUGCAGUGGGUACGGGCAGACUAGAGUGUGGUAGGGGAGACUGGAAUUCCUGGUGUAGCGGUGAAAUGCGCAGAUAUCAGGAGGAACACCGAUGGCGAAGGCAGGUCCCUGGGCCAUAACUGACGCUGAGAAGCGAAAGCAUGGGGAGCGAACAGG